rnacentral:tRNA from 1 species
AGUUAAUUACUUUAGAAAGUAUUAUGUUUUGAAAGCAUAAUUAAGGGGUUUAAUUCCCCUAUUAACUU